AUCCAGCUGACAAGUCCUAACUGGGACGAAACGCGCAUCCUGGAU
rfam:Schistosoma rodhaini strain Burundi genome assembly, scaffold: SROB_scaffold0003932